rnacentral:rRNA from 1 species
UACGUAGGGGGCUAGCGUUGUCCGGAUUUAUUGGGCGUAAAGAGCGUGUAGGCGGCUAGGUAGGUCCGUUGUGAAAACUCGAGGCUCAACCUCGAGACGUCGAUGGAAACCAUCUAGCUAGAGUCCGGAAGAGGAGAGUGGAAUUCCUGGUGUAGCGGUGAAAUGCGCAGAUAUCAGGAAGGACACCCGUGGCGAAGGCGGCUCUCUGGGACGUGACUGACGCUGAGGAGCGAAAGCGUGGGGAGCGAACAGG